rnacentral:rRNA from 1 species
GCAUAUCAAUAAGCGGAGGAAAAGAAACCAACAGGGAUUGCCCUAGUAACGGCGAGUGAAGCGGCAAUAGCUCAAAUUUGAAAGCUGGCCUUCUGGUCCGCAUUGUAAUUUGUAGAGGAUGCUUUUAGGCAGCCGCCGGUCUAAGUUCCUUGGAACAGGACGUCAUAGAGGGUGAGAAUCCCGUAUGUGACCGGCUCUGGCACCUUAUGUAAAGCUCCUUCGACGAGUCGAGUUGUUUGGGAAUGCAGCUCUAAAUGGGAGGUAAAUUUCUUCUAAAGCUAAAUACUGGCGAGAGACCGAUAGCGCACAAGUAGAGUGAUCGAAAGAUGAAAAGCACUUUGGAAAGAGAGUUAAAAAGCACGUGAAAUUGUUGAAAGGGAAGCGCUUGCAAUCAGACUUGGACUUGGCUGUUCAACCGGUCUUCUGACCGGCCUACUCAGUCUUGUCCAGGCCAGCAUCAGUUUCGGCGGCCGGAUAAAGGCCCUGGGAAUGUAGCUGUCUCUUCGGGGACAGUGUUAUAGCCCAGGGUGUAAUACGGCCAGCCGGGACUGAGGUCCGCGCUUCGGCUAGGAUGCUGGCGUAAUGGUUGUAAGCGGCCCGUCUUGAAACACGGACCAAGGAGUCUAACAUCUAUGCGAGUGUUAGGGUGUCAAACCCUUACGCGUAAUGAAAGUGAACGGAGGUGGGAACCCGCAAGGGUGCACCAUCGACCGAUCCUGAUGUCUUCGGAUGGAUUUGAGUAAGAGCAUAGCUGUUGGGACCCGAAAGAUGGUGAACUAUGCCUGAAUAGGGUGAAGCCAGAGGAAACUCUGGUGGAGGCUCGCAGCGGUUCUGACGUGCAAAUCGAUCGUCAAAUUUGGGUAUAGGGGCGAAAGACUAAUCGAACCAUCUAGUAGCUGGUUCCUGCCGA